AGGUGGCCCGCCUGGGGCAGGUCGCCGGGACAACCCCACCGCCCCGCAAGUCCAGCCCGGCCUCGGGCACGGUAGGGUUUGCGGUUAAGCUUGUGACCUUUAGACUUCUGAAUAUUCAUAUGUAUGAAAUGUGAUAUACAUAAAAGUGUGCAUAUCAGGAAUUUACAGUGAUUAAUGACCAGAGUGAACACAGCUGCGUAGCCGACACCGGGAUCCAAAACACCGCUAUUCUGAAAGCCUCCCUCUUUCCCAAAAGGCAACCGCGAACUCAACACUACAAAUUCGGUCUGCAAUCCACCCGGAGAUGAUU
rnacentral:lncRNA from 1 species